rnacentral:misc_RNA from 1 species
AACGCACGAGACCUGCGGACCUGCGGAGGGAUCAUUAGUGAACGCCCUCACGGGCUUAUAACUAUUCCAAACCUCUGUGAACCGUGCCCUCCGGGGCUAUUUUACAAACAUGGUGUAAUGAACGUCAUAUAUCAUAACAAAACAAAACUUUUAACAACGGAUCUCU